UCACCGCGAGAAUACAAUGAUGCACCAGAGAGGCAUGACCGACUAAUAUUCAACUCGACACGCAGAAAAAUAACAUGCAUGCUUUGACGGACUGAAAGGCUCAAAGAUGUGAGAGUGUAUCCAUCUGUGGACACACCCAGUGAGACAGCAGGCACGAGUCAGCAGGGCCCGAAGAGAACCAUACGCUCCGAGAGCCACUGACGCAAACCCAUAGAGCUUAACUACAAUCACAGGGUGACAGCAGCCAGCUCAGCACAAUACACCUCAACAGUAAAAAAAAAAAGAAAAAAAAAAAAGGGGACAGUGGAGAGGGGAGGAGCAAAAAACAAGAGACCGAGGCAGAGAGAGCGAGAGAGACCCAGACUACAACCUGGCAGAAAAGCACAUGGGCAAUAUGCAAAUGCGCAAUUGGAACCAGUCCACACAUAGGCCUCAUUAUCACCUUUUGAUGACAAAAUUCACGUCAUGCCGAGCUUGGCGGACCCCCGAGGAUGCUGAAAGUAUAACAACAGCACUGGGCAACAUGACCAAU